UUAAAUAUUUUUAUUGUAGUUCUGAAGGAGCACCAUUUUGUGAUUCAGAAUGAGUUUAUUGUGAAUCAGAAGUAGUUUAUUGUAAUUCUGAAACCUUUUAUUGUAGUUCUGAAGGAGCACCUUAUUGACGAGUGUUUCUUUAUUAUUAACACCAGGGUUAUUCAGGAAAUGGCUGGCCAUGAUAAUUAUGAAACCAACCUGUCACAGUUUCAACGGUUGUUUGUCUUUGUGUAGUUUUUGUUUCUUCCUCCAGAUCUCCUCAGUUAUUCUUUUCCCUCCCAUCCUUAUCAUUGAUUUUCUUCCAACUGUGUUGAUUUGUUGAUUUGUUAAUUGUGUCCUCAUUUGUAUUCAAGCCCUCCGUUUGUUAUCCGUUUGUCUGUAGGUCCCGUCCUGUAGCUAAGCAAGUCUAGUAAGUGUCCUAGUGAAUGAUUCAACUUCUG
ensembl:lncRNA